CGGUGGCGGCAGCUAUAAUGCAGUCGAGCGGGAUUGGCUGAUCGCAAGUGAUGCCAGUCUAGCGGCGGACGGCUGAGUAACACGUGGGUGACCUGCCUUGAAGUGGGGAAUAACGGUUCGAAAGAAUCGCUAAUACCGCAUGCGAUCGCAGCUUCGUUGUUGCGAUCAAAGCCGCAAGGCGCUUCGAGAGGGGCCUGCGUCCGAUUAGCUAGUUGGUGGGGUAAUGGCCUACCAAGGCUACGAUCGGUAGCUGGUCUGAGAGGGUGAUCAGCCAGACUGGGACUGAGACACGGCCCAGACUCCUACGGGAGGCAGCAGUAAGGAAUUUUCCACAAUGGGCGAAAGCCUGAUGGAGCAACGCCGCGUGGGCGAAGAAGGCCUUCGGGUCGUAAAGCCCUUUUCUAGGGGACGAUAAUGACGGUACCCUAGGAAUAAGCCACGGCUAACUACGUGCCAGCAGCCGCGGUAAUACGUAGGUGGCGAGCGUUGUCCGGAUUUAUUGGGCGUAAAGAGCGCGAAGGCGGUGCCCUAAGUUGGGCGUGAAAUCCCCUGGCUUAACUGGGGGAGGUCGUUCAAUACUGGGGUGCUUGAGGGUGGACGGGGAGAGCGGAAUUCCCGGUGUAGUGGUGAAAUGCGUAGAUAUCGGGAGGAACACCAGUGGCGAAGGCGGCUCUCUAGACCACUCCUGACGCUCAAGCGCGAAAGCGUGGGUAGCGAACGGAAUUAGAUACUCCGGUAGUCCACGCUGUAAACGAUGAGCACUAGGUGUAGUGGGUAUCGACCCCCACUGUGCCGCAGCCAACGCAAUAAGUGCUCCGCCUGGGGACUACGCCGCAAGGUUAAAACUCAAAGGAAUUGACGG
rnacentral:rRNA from 1 species